rnacentral:antisense_RNA from 1 species
AUAACUAACUAACUAACUUCCUUCCUUCCUUCCUUCCUUCCUCCCUCCCUCCCUCCCUGCCUUCCCUUCCUUCCUGCCUUCCUUCUUCCUUCCUCCCUUUUUUCUUUUCUCCCUUCCUUCCUUCUUAAUAUGUUUUUGGCCUUUUCUUUAUAUAUGUGGCCUAGCAAUAUCCUGUGUUUGGAAAAGUAUAAACCUAAGGCAUCACCUUUACAGAAAAUAUCUUCCACGGAAACAUCUAAAGUGAGGAGGUAAAGUUGCAUUCACAGGCCUUGAACUUUUCCACAUCUCGAUUUUUACCCAUCAUCUCUGAAUAGUUCCCUAAGGCAGCCUUCAAAUGGUGAUGUUUCUUAUAAUCCAGAGUUCAGAAGUGGCUUCUCUUCAAUCUUUCUGUGGAAUUCUAAACCAUGUGAUAAAGGAGCUGGUGGCCACAGAUCAGCCCUGGGGUUCAGAGGGAUCCUGACGGCUACUCCUCAAGAUCCUCUCUGUUGUGAUUCAUCCCCCCCGGGCCCUACAGUUUCUCCUUCCUGACUCUUACAUUUCUUUGGAUGGCAUCAUUAUUUACCUGUCUCCUCCCAUAGUUAGGUGCCAAGCACUGUGGAUUCUGCCCCUCAGUGUCCAGACACCCAUUUUCCUUCCCACUGUUCCUUCCCCAUGGAGAAGCCUGUGGCUGGCUGACAGCAGAGAGAGAUGCUCAACUUGGAGAAGGUGUUACCUGGGCCAGGUGGGGAAGGUUUGUUUGCAGAGCAAAGAAGUGAAGGAAGUAUUAACCCUUUGCAUGGCCUCCUGAGAAUCCGACAAGACGUAAAUAGCCAAGAAUAUCUGUGGAACUUAAUCACUGAGUUACAGUAUUUAUCACUGCAAGUGUG